GGUUAAGCGACUAAGCGUACACGGUGGAUGCCCUGGCAGUCAGAGGCGAUGAAGGACGUGCUAAUCUGCGAUAAGCGUCGGUAAGGUGAUAUGAACCGUUAUAACCGGCGAUUUCCGAAUGGGGAAACCCAGUGUGUUUCGACACACUAUCAUUAACUGAAUCCAUAGGUUAAUGAGGCGAACCGGGGGAACUGAAACAUCUAAGUACCCCGAGGAAAAGAAAUCAACCGAGAUUCCCCCAGUAGCGGCGAGCGAACGGGGAGCAGCCCAGAGCCUGAAUCAGUGUGUGUGUUAGUGGAAGCGUCUGGAAAGGCGCGCGAUACAGGGUGACAGCCCCGUACACAAAAAUGCACAUGCUGUGAGCUCGAUGAGUAGGGCGGGACACGUGGUAUCCUGUCUGAAUAUGGGGGGACCAUCCUCCAAGGCUAAAUACUCCUGACUGACCGAUAGUGAACCAGUACCGUGAGGGAAAGGCGAAAAGAACCCCGGCGAGGGGAGUGAAAAAGAACCUGAAACCGUGUACGUACAAGCAGUGGGAGCACGCUUAGGCGUGUGACUGCGUACCUUUUGUAUAAUGGGUCAGCGACUUAUAUUCUGUAGCAAGGUUAACCGAAUAGGGGAGCCGAAGGGAAACCGAGUCUUAACUGGGCGUUAAGUUGCAGGGUAUAGACCCGAAACCCGGUGAUCUAGCCAUGGGCAGGUUGAAGGUUGGGUAACACUAACUGGAGGACCGAACCGACUAAUGUUGAAAAAUUAGCGGAUGACUUGUGGCUGGGGGUGAAAGGCCAAUCAAACCGGGAGAUAGCUGGUUCUCCCCGAAAGCUAUUUAGGUAGCGCCUCGUGAAUUCAUCUCCGGGGGUAGAGCACUGUUUCGGCAAGGGGGUCAUCCCGACUUACCAACCCGAUGCAAACUGCGAAUACCGGAGAAUGUUAUCACGGGAGACACACGGCGGGUGCUAACGUCCGUCGUGAAGAGGGAAACAACCCAGACCGCCAGCUAAGGUCCCAAAGUCAUGGUUAAGUGGGAAACGAUGUGGGAAGGCCCAGACAGCCAGGAUGUUGGCUUAGAAGCAGCCAUCAUUUAAAGAAAGCGUAAUAGCUCACUGGUCGAGUCGGCCUGCGCGGAAGAUGUAACGGGGCUAAACCAUGCACCGAAGCUGCGGCAGCGACGCUUAUGCGUUGUUGGGUAGGGGAGCGUUCUGUAAGCCUGCGAAGGUGUGCUGUGAGGCAUGCUGGAGGUAUCAGAAGUGCGAAUGCUGACAUAAGUAACGAUAAAGCGGGUGAAAAGCCCGCUCGCCGGAAGACCAAGGGUUCCUGUCCAACGUUAAUCGGGGCAGGGUGAGUCGACCCCUAAGGCGAGGCCGAAAGGCGUAGUCGAUGGGAAACAGGUUAAUAUUCCUGUACUUGGUGUUACUGCGAAGGGGGGACGGAGAAGGCUAUGUUGGCCGGGCGACGGUUGUCCCGGUUUAAGCGUGUAGGCUGGUUUUCCAGGCAAAUCCGGAAAAUCAAGGCUGAGGCGUGAUGACGAGGCACUACGGUGCUGAAGCAACAAAUGCCCUGCUUCCAGGAAAAGCCUCUAAGCAUCAGGUAACAUCAAAUCGUACCCCAAACCGACACAGGUGGUCAGGUAGAGAAUACCAAGGCGCUUGAGAGAACUCGGGUGAAGGAACUAGGCAAAAUGGUGCCGUAACUUCGGGAGAAGGCACGCUGAUAUGUAGGUGAAGCGACUUGCUCGUGGAGCUGAAAUCAGUCGAAGAUACCAGCUGGCUGCAACUGUUUAUUAAAAACACAGCACUGUGCAAACACGAAAGUGGACGUAUACGGUGUGACGCCUGCCCGGUGCCGGAAGGUUAAUUGAUGGGGUUAGCCGCAAGGCGAAGCUCUUGAUCGAAGCCCCGGUAAACGGCGGCCGUAACUAUAACGGUCCUAAGGUAGCGAAAUUCCUUGUCGGGUAAGUUCCGACCUGCACGAAUGGCGUAAUGAUGGCCAGGCUGUCUCCACCCGAGACUCAGUGAAAUUGAACUCGCUGUGAAGAUGCAGUGUACCCGCGGCAAGACGGAAAGACCCCGUGAACCUUUACUAUAGCUUGACACUGAACAUUGAGCCUUGAUGUGUAGGAUAGGUGGGAGGCUUUGAAGUGUGGACGCCAGUCUGCAUGGAGCCGACCUUGAAAUACCACCCUUUAAUGUUUGAUGUUCUAACGUUGACCCGUAAUCCGGGUUGCGGACAGUGUCUGGUGGGUAGUUUGACUGGGGCGGUCUCCUCCUAAAGAGUAACGGAGGAGCACGAAGGUUGGCUAAUCCUGGUCGGACAUCAGGAGGUUAGUGCAAUGGCAUAAGCCAGCUUGACUGCGAGCGUGACGGCGCGAGCAGGUGCGAAAGCAGGUCAUAGUGAUCCGGUGGUUCUGAAUGGAAGGGCCAUCGCUCAACGGAUAAAAGGUACUCCGGGGAUAACAGGCUGAUACCGCCCAAGAGUUCAUAUCGACGGCGGUGUUUGGCACCUCGAUGUCGGCUCAUCACAUCCUGGGGCUGAAGUAGGUCCCAAGGGUAUGGCUGUUCGCCAUUUAAAGUGGUACGCGAGCUGGGUUUAGAACGUCGUGAGACAGUUCGGUCCCUAUCUGCCGUGGGCGCUGGAGAACUGAGGGGGGCUGCUCCUAGUACGAGAGGACCGGAGUGGACGCAUCACUGGUGUUCGGGUUGUCAUGCCAAUGGCACUGCCCGGUAGCUAAAUGCGGAAGAGAUAAGUGCUGAAAGCAUCUAAGCACGAAACUUGCCCCGAGAUGAGUUCUCCCUGACCCUUUAAGGGUCCUGAAGGAACGUUGAAGACGACGACGUUGAUAGGCCGGGUGUGUAAGCGCAGCGAUGCGUUGAGCUAACCGGUACUAAUGAACCGUGAGGCUUAACCUU
rnacentral:rRNA from 1 species